UAAUUGACCCCAAAUCACACAAAAAUGACCCCAAAUCCCACAAAAUGACACAAAAUCCCACAAAAAUGACCCAAAAUCCCACAAAAGUGAGCCAAAAUCCCACAAAAUGACCCAAAAUCACAAAACUUCGCACCAAAAUGAUCCAAAAUCUCAUAAAAUUGAUCCAAAAUCCCACAAAAAUGACCCAAAAUCCCACAAAAAUGACCCAAAAUCACAAAACUUCUCACCAAAAUGACAGUAAAUCUCAUAUAAUUGACCCCAAAUCCCACAAAAUGACCCAGAAUCCCACAAAACUUUGCACCAAAAUGACACAAAAUCUCAUAAAAUUGACCCCAAAUCACACAAAAAUGACCCCAAAUCCCACAAAAUGACACAAAAUCCCACAAACAGGACCCAAAAUCUCACAAAAGUGAGCCAAAAUCCCACAGAAUGACCCAAAAUCACCAGAAUUCGCACCAAAAUGACACAAAAAUCCCACAAAAUGACACAAAAUCCCACAAACAGGACCCAAAAUCCCACAAACAGGACCCAAAAUCCCACAAACAGGACCCAAAAUCCCACAAACAGGACCCAAAAUCACAAAACUUCACACCAAAACGACAAAAUCUCAUAAAAUUGACCCAAAAUCCAAAAAAAUGACCCAAAAUCACAAAACUUCUCACCAAAAUGACAGUAAAUCUCAUAUAAUUGACCCCAAAUCCCACAAAAUUGACCCCAAAUCCCACAAAAUGGCCCCAAAUCCCACAAAAUCCCACAAAAUCCCAAAAAAAUGACCCAAAAUCCCAUAAAAUUGAGCCAAAAUCCCACAAAAUGACCCAAAAUCACCAAAAUUCGCACCAAAAUGACACAAAAUCUCAUAAAAUUGACCCCAAAUCCCACAAAAAUGACCCAAAACCCCCAAAUUGACACAAAAUCCACCAAAAAUGACCCAAAAUCCCCAAAAUUCCCCAAAAUGAUCCCAAAUACCCCCAAAAUGACCCCAAAUUCCCCAA
rnacentral:lncRNA from 1 species